rnacentral:lncRNA from 1 species
UCGGGGACUUUCCAGUUUAUCUGAACUGUCCUAAAAGCAGCUUUCCACCCAUCUGCCCACCCAGAAGCUGAGCUGUCCCGGAACCUGGAUGAACUUCAAACUGAUCUGAGCAACUUCAAGUCCAAGAGCUUGAAUGAGAGGCGCACAGACAAAGACUCACUGGACAGACUCCAGGAAGAGGUGAUGAGGUUGCAGAUAGAGCUACGGGAGUUGAACGGUAAAAGCAUUCCUGCAUUCACCAUCACUGGUUUCUCUUUGCUCCCCUGUCCUCCACCCAGCAUGGCUUCACAGAGGGACAACAGUAGGAUUCCCUUAACCAUGACCCUCUGGAAGACCGAGCUUGCCUGGGGGCAGGAGAGGGGGACCCCUGCAGUCAAAGGGUGAUGGUGAUGACGCUGGCAUCUUCCCUGGGGGUGGCAGAGAUGGAGGUGGUGUUGGUGGUUGUGAGGGUCACAUGGUGGCACCCAGAGGUUGCACAAAGACCAGAUUGUGCCUUUAACCUUGAGUAGGAACCUGAGCUGUACAGCCUUUCGGUGGCUUUUUUGCAUGUCCUGUGGUCCGACCCCUUGGUUUCUGACCUCCCUCCUCUGGGAAGUCCCAGCUGCCCCAAUUAGGUAAGAGAAGAGGAAGGAUCUCUGCU